UGGGGAAUAUUGCACAAUGGGGGAAACCCUGAUGCAGCGACGCCGCGUGAGUGAAGAAGUAUUUCGGUAUGUAAAGCUCUAUCAGCAGGGAAGAAAAUGACGGUACCUGACUAAGAAGCCCCGGCUAACUACGUGCCAGCAGCCGCGGUAAUACGUAGGGGGCAAGCGUUAUCCGGAUUUACUGGGUGUAAAGGGAGCGUAGACGGCCAGACAAGUCAGAAGUGAAAGCCCAGGGCUCAACCCUGGGACUGCUUUUGAAACUGCCGGGCUGGAGUGCAGGAGAGGUAAGCGGAAUUCCUAGUG
rnacentral:rRNA from 1 species